GUGAGCACUUCACCCGGGAGGUUAUCCAGAGUAUCGUAUUUAUUUUUUUACCACUAGGAGAAAGAGUGCAUCUGACUAACCGGUCUAUUACUACUAACCUUUAGGCACAAAGAAUGUCUUUCGAUGUGAGUGAUAAAUAGAGAAGACUGCAACCGUAGUCUCCUUCUAACCUUGGUAAGGAUGAUCUACUGUUCUAAUGGGGAGGCUAACGAAAUCUAGACACCACAAAGGAUGUUCGACCCGUACCUAUAAACCCUAUCCUUCCUGCUAACGAGAUGUGAUCUACAAAGGUAGCUCGGAAAUGUCACGUUCCUCGCUACUACCACUGUCCAGCUAGUCAGGGAAUAUCUAUGAGUACCCCAGCCUAAACACCACGUUUACGCCAGCAAUGAUUACUCUAAACUCUACGCGAAGAGAUUAAAGUAAACUCAUAAACCAUAAGAACAAUAAAACAAGAACUUACUAGAAUUUAGAAGUCGAAUUACUAAAGAAUCCUAGGAGCAAGCUUCGGGUUAGGAGAACUUGAUCCCGCAGGUACAAGCUUGGAGUAGACACCGACAGGCCGGGCUUCCUCCACUCUUCACCUCCACUAUAUCUCUCUCAAUCUAGUAGAAACUAGAAGAUCUAUUUCUACCUUACAUUGAUUGCUAAGCCUAAAAAGAAAUAUUAAUUAGAGAAGAGGUUUUCCUUCGAGGGCACCCCUCAGUCUCUAUGAUAAUUUCUUCAUGUCUUAUCAAGGGGCCAGGGGCCUUGCUUAUAUAGUCCUCCCCUUCUAUGCGUUUUUGGGUCGAUAGGCGAGGUGGUACUAUAUUUUUCUUGAUCCAAUAGGUCGGUGGAAUAUCCCGAGCGAAAGAGUCCCGAUUUGGCUCCAACAGGGGGGCGGGCGCCCAGGCUACCAGGGCGGGCGCCCUGGGCCUGGCCCAGUUUCGCCUCCGCUUCGGUCUCGUGGCUUCUGGAGUCUUCUAGAUGAUGUAAAAUUACGCGGUGCGUUGAUAUCUCUAUGUAAUCCCGACAUGUGGGCCUUUCUUCCUUAUUUCCUGAUAACCCCCUGCAGAAACAGAUAAACAACAAAACUCGUGGAAUUCUGUCAGAUCAAAUCCUAAUUCUAGGUGAUGGUUGCAUAUUGGUCCUUUCUCUUGUUUAUUUGAUAAUUAAAAUUGAUACUUAAGAACUGUCAACAAAUACCCCCAUACUUAGGCUUUUACUCGUCCUCGAGAAAAGGAUGGUUAAGAUCAAUAUCUGGGGUAAACAUUUAAAUCAUUCUUUUUAUAAUUGCAGGGUGUCAAAAACCCACUGUGUACCAUAGUCAGGAAAGUUUAUGAUUAAGAGUAAAGAUCCUUUCUUCUCAAUCCUGUCACUUGGAGUUUUUGUAUAUUUUUGAAAGAAAGUUAGCAUACCUUUUUGAUCCUCAUAGGUUCUCUCAGAUCACUCAUUAUCUUUUAUAUAUAUAUCUCACUGAGGCUGUUUUAAUUUUGUAAAAAUUCCCAAGCAUUCUUACUUUGCAUUUAUUGCCUGAUCAAAACGGGAUCCGAGGAGGGGAAUGUCAUACUCUUAGAUCAAAGACUUUGGAAAUUAAAAACUUUGUCAACUCUUGCUGGCAUAUUGCUUAUUAGAGGGACCAUGGGCUAUCAUUUUUUUCUCUUUUCUCUUUUUUUAAGUGGAUACCGAGGUACCCCUAAUUCUACUGCCGAACACUUGUCCAUUUUUUCUGCGAGGUUGUCGAGCACUUGCUCCUUUUUAUUUCCUCGAAAUAUCUCUAUUUUUUCAUAGCCCAUGCCUCUAAUGCAAUAAUACUUCGGAAGAGUGAAUCUUACUGAAAUAAUGUCUUGAUCUUAGGAGCAUGAUAAAUCUCUCAACAAGGGUCUAACUCAUUUUGAACAAACUCAAUACAGAGCAGAUAGCUUUAUAAUCAUAAUUAAUAUUUUCAGUUUUAUCAGGCAUAUAAAACACUGAGGAUGGUAGCUAGAAUUUUGAAUAUUUUGAAAUAAAUUCUCCAAGCAACAAUGAUAUCAAGAAUAAGAAACUCAUACUCUACCAUCACAUAUUCCAUAUUGACUUAAGUAACACAGGGUUUUAAAAUGAUUUUAUAACAAUUGCAAGAUUUCAGGAAAUAUCACAGAUUGAGAUUAAUCAUGAUUAUAAAUAUUUUAAUCUUUUUUUUAUCAUGUCGGAAACAAUAAUCUGCAUAAUCCAAAAUAUAUAUAUGUGUAAAGUAAAGUGUGCAUAGUGUGUACCUGUGUGGUGGAGUGGUGUGUUUGGCAUGUCAAGGGAUCUCCCCCAUACUUGUUUUCUGCUUUCUUGCACAAAAAUAAAGUAGAGACACACAAGACAUAAUAAUAAUAAUAGUACUCUUUAUUGAUCUUGAGGCAUUUAUUACAAAAGACUGAUAGCAAAGUGAUAACAAACUGAUGAUAAUAGCAACUGUUGAUAAUAGCAAACUUAAACCGAAUUUAAAGAUAGAUGACUAAGAUGUAUUGCCUCAAGGUCUAAUCUAGAUAACUUAGCGGCGCUCUAAUUCCUUAAUCUUCUUGUUGGCACUAGCAAGAUCCUGCCUAAGGCCUAGUAUAAUGGUGUUGUGGUUAGAGAGCUGCCUAGUGAGGGAAUUAAUCGAGGACUGGAGGUCUAUGAUAAUUCUAUCUAGCCUGCGAACUUCCUCAUCAAUAUCCUUUAUAGUCUUGCGACGCUUGGGAGGUGUCUCAAAAGCAUUGAGAGCGUGCUUCGGGGCUGCCUUUGGAGGGAUGAAACGGAAUUUGGCUGCUCUAAUCCCUUCAAAGUAAGGCCUUUCCUCCUCCAUAGUGUAGCGUACGCUGCUGAUCUCGCUGCUCCGGUUGGUCUUGACUCCAACGACCCUCUCAUUGGGUCUAGGUGGAAGGAUCCUCGUGCCGAUUGGCACCUUGAUAGUGGUCUUCGUCUUGGAUGAUGAUCCUGUGAGGAGUAGGGGUUGUGGUGGUGCGGUGAGAACUAGUUGAGCAUGGUAAGAUUGGGUGGAGCUGCGUUGGCGUAAUGGCAUGGCUUCUAGCUGUCGCUCUGUGUUGGCCGGAACGAGAGCACGGGCAUCGGGGUCUUCCACAGGCUCUAUGUUGAGGUUGAAGGGGACGACUUCCCAAUCAUCGUGGUACUUCUCGGCCAUUGGAGCAGCAAGGAACUAAUAAAAUUUUAAUUGAAGUAGAGCUAAUCAAGCUCUAAUUGAAGGAGAGCUAAUCAAGCUCUAAUUGAAGGAGAGAAAGCUUGGUGUCUUGGUGUUUGAAAACUGAGGUCAGGGGUCUGUUUAUAUAGGGGUCAAAAGGGUGCCUCUAUGGGUUGUUCGGGUUUCUCCCGUCGACGUGCGUGCGAAACUUUCCAUCCGAGGGAUUAUUCAGAUCACCCUAAGUGCAUUUUCCAUAACAGAGAAAGUCGGGACCGAGGGGGAACAGGGGCUGGGCGCCCGCCCACUUGACCUGGGCGCCCGCCCUCCCUCUGGCCCCUCUGUGGGCCCACUUCUCCGAGCGUGUUUCUAGAUGCGGAAUUAUUUAGAAAAAUAUAUAUAUGACCCAAAACCAUCAGACCAAAAGUAUCGGGCUCUAAUUCUCCAUGGGAAGGUAAAAAUAGACUACGUCUAUUUCUUCAAAUUCCUCAUUGGGCUCUAAAAAUAAUUUAAGACGUUGACCAUUUACCUUGAAUAACGUACCUUCGCUAUUUUGAAGUAUGAUAGCUCCGUGCGAUGAUGAAUUGAUUACCUUGAAUGGCCCUUCCCAUUUGCUCCGGAGUUUUCCAUGCCCGAAAAGCUUCACCCUGGAAUUAAAAAGUAAUACCUUAUCUCCGGGAGUGAACUCCUUCUUCUUGAUUCUCUUGUCAUGCCACCUUUUGACUCUUUCUUUGUAGAUCUUUGAAUUGUGAUAUGCCUUCUCUCUCCAUUCUUCCAAUUCUAAUAGUUGCAUUCUUCUAUAAUAUCCAGCAACAUCUAGGUCCAUAUUCCAUCUCUUUAUGGCCCAGUGUGCUUUGAAUUCUAGUUCAACAGGUAGAUGGCAAGUCUUCCCAUACACCAAUUGGUAUGGAGACAUUCCGAUUGGGGUCUUGUAUGCUGUCCGGUACGCCCAGAGUGCAUCGGGUAGCUUGUCUUUCCAUGCCGUUCCCAUUUCAUUUACUGUCUUCUGAAGAAUAUUCUUGAUUUGUUUGUUGGAAGUCUCUGCUUGGCCACUUGUCUGAGGAUGAUAGGGGGUAGCGACGUUGUGACGGAUUCCAUGUCUUGAUAGAUAUUGCUUGAAGCAUUUGUCGAUGAAGUGUGCUCCUCCAUCACUUAUCACUACUCUGGGGACUCCAAAUCUUGGAAAUAUAAUUUCUUCAAACAUCCUCUUUGAACUGACGUUGUCGGCAUGCUUGCAAGGUAAUGCCUCUACCCACUUGGAGACAUAGUCAACUGCCACCAAGAUGUACUCACACUUCUUUGAUGGAGGAAAUGGACCCAUGUAGUCUAUUCCCCAGACAUCAAAGAGCUCAAUCUGAAGGUUGUUGGUGAGUGGCAUUGCAUCCCUUGUAUUUAUGUUUCCGUGCCUUUGACAUGGCCCACAUCUUCUGAUAUAUUGCUUCGUGUCUUCAUACAUUGUAGGUCAAUAGAAUCCACACUGCCAGAUCUUUGAAUGUGUACGAAAUGCUCCAUAGUGACCUCCAUAUGGUGAUGAAUGACAUCUGUCGAUGAUCUUCCAUCCUUCCUCAGUGGUCACACAUCUCCUGAGUAAGCCAUCAGAGCAUACUCGGAAGAGGUAUGGCUCAUCCCAUAUAUGUGAACGACUUUCUUGAAUAAGCUUCUUCUUGUUUGCUCCUGGUGGUACAUACCUUGAAACUAUAAAAUUAACAAUAUCUGCAUACCAGGGGUCAGACCUGUUAAUCCCGUAGAGCAUGUCGUCCCGGAGUGAAUCGUUGAUGGGGGUUUCCUGUGGAUUCUUAAAAUACAUUCUAGACAAGUGAUCAGCAACAAAAUUUUCUACUCCUUUUUUAUCUUUUAUUUCUAAGUCAAAUUCUUGGAGUAAUAAGAUCCAUCUAAUCAGGCGAGGUUUAGCAUCUUUUUUAGUGAGCAAAUAUUUUAGUGCAGCAUGAUCAGUGUAAACAAUUAUUUUAGCUCCAACUAAAUAAGAUCUAAAUUUAUCUAUGGCAAAGACAACAGCCAGAAGCUCUUUUUCAGUGGUUGCAUAAUUAAGUUGAGCUCCUGUCAAAGUUUUACUGGCAUAAGCAAUUGCAUGAUGCUUCUUGUCUUUAGUUUGUCCCAAUACUGCCCCCACAGCAUAAUCACUAGCAUCACACAUAAUUUCAAAAGGCAACGACCAAUCAGGGGGUUGAAUGAUUGGUGCAGAGAUGAGUGCUUUCUUUAAUAAAUUGAAAGAUGUUAGACAUGCAUCAUCAAAUUCGAAAGGAGCAUCCUUGGCUAGCAAAAGGGUAAGUGGUCUAGCAAUAAAUGAAAAAUCUUUUAUGAAUCUACGAUAAAAACCAGCAUGGCCAAGAAAGCUUCGAAUUCCUUUUAUAUUCACAGGUGGAGGUAGUUGUUCAAUUACUUCAAUUUUAGCUUUGUCUACCUCAAUCCCUCUUUCAGACACUAAGUGUCCUAGCACUAUUCCUUCCCUAACCAUAAAAUGACAUUUUUCCCAAUUAAGGAUUAAGUGCUUUUCUUCACAUCUUUGCAAAACCUUGUCUAAGUUUUCAAGACAACUAUCAAAAGUUUUUCCAUAAACAGAGAAAUCAUCCAUGAAAACUUCCAUAAUGUCUUCAAUCAUAUCAGAAAAUAUAGACAUCAUGCAUCUUUGAAAAGAAGCUGGUGCAUUACAUAACCUAAAAGACAUUCUACGGUAAGCAUAAGUUCCAUAAGGGCAUGUAAAAGUGGUUUUGCUUUGAUCAUCAGGAUGGAUCGGGAUUUGGUGAUACCCUGAAUAUCCAUCUAAGAAACAAAAGAACGAAUGGUUUGCUAACCGCUCUAGCAUCUCAUCUAUAAAAGGUAAAGGAAAGUGAUCCUUUCUCGUGGCUUUGUUUAGUUUUCUAUAGUCUAUGCACAUCCGCCAUCCUGUGACGGUGCGUUGCGGAAUUCGCUCGUUCUUUUCAUUCAUAAUAACUGUCAUGCCUCCCUUUUUGGGCACAGCUUGCACUGGGCUCACCCACUCACUGUGCGGCACAGGAUAUAUAAUCUCUGCAUGCAACAACUUUAUAACUUCCUUUUUAACUACCUCUCUCAUAGUGUUGUUAAGUCUACGUUGGGGUUCUCGAGAGGGUGUAACAGAAGGAUCUGUUGGAAUACGAUGGGUACAAAUCAUAGGACUGAUUCCUGUAAGAUCUUGAAGUGAGUAGCCGAAAACUGAGUGAUGUUUCUCAAGAAUGGUCAUUAAUCGCAGAGUUUGAUCCUGAGUGAGUUUAUCGCUAAUGAUCACAGGGAACUCUGGAUUAUUGUUUAGGAAAGCAUAGGUAAGACCGGGUGGUAAAGUUUUAAGCUCUAUGGGAGGUCUAGGUGUUUCUGCAAACUCAUCUAAGGGUUCAGGCUUGGAAGGUUCGUCUUCUUCUUCUGGUUCAUCUAAAAGCUCUAGAGAUGCAGCCUUUACUUCCUCCAUAGGAUCAGGCAAAAAAUAUGACUCGGCCUUAUUGUUUAAGGAGUGUGAAAUUGUUAUCGGGAAUUUAAAGGUUUUUCCAAAAGAAAUGUGUAGCUUUCCAGUAUGACCUUCAUAAAGGAGUCUUCUAAAAGGUUGUCCUAUCAAUAGGUCGAAGUCCCAUGUAUCAAAGAUAUAGAAGUUCAAAUGAACCAUGGAGCCUUCUACUGUAAGAGGUAGGAUAUUAAUAAUUCCAAGACUGGGGACUAAUCGUCCCAAAGAUUCCUUUAUGACCUUUGUUGUGGGAGUUAAGAUAAGAUUUUUAAAUAGUUUAAGUGCAAAGGAUUCAGACAUAAUAUUGAUCCCCACAACAGGAUUAUAAAGAGCAUUAAAUCGAUCCGAAUUAUAAGCACAGCGUAUAGUUAUAGAGGGUGUGUCCAAACGGAUCACAUCAGAGGAAAGCUCUGAUUCCUCCAACCAUUCGCUACUCAUUACUGAGAUAAGCUCUCUCAAUUGAUAUUCACUUGGUAAAUAAAUGCUAAACAGCCGUUUUGGGGUUUGUCAAUAGAAUGGUAGUUUGAAAUAUUUCCAAAAUCGGCAAAAAGAUCGGAUUCUAUAUCCAGCAUGAAGUCCGGUAGUGGAAUUUCUUUCUCUUGUGGCUCAGAACUUGGGAUAGCUAAAGUAGAUGAAGAAUUUGGCAGAGUGUCUACUUCGGCUUCGUAGGUUUCAUCAUGAAGGGUAUUAUCCAUCUCAGCUUCUAGGAUUCUAUCUAAGAUCACUCUAGCUUCAUCAGCAGGGAUGCGAAAGAAAGAACCUCUAGACAUUGUGUGCAGCAUUUGUUUGUGAUUUUUAUUAAGACCUCGAAAAAAGUGAAAUAAAAGAACAGGGUCUUCAAGAUUAAGGUUUGGACUAGAUUCUAAAAGAUCAGAAAAACGUUUCCAGGAUUUUCCCAAAGUUUCAUUAUCUUUUUGUUUAAAAGAUAGGACUUCGAGUCUAAGGUCGGCUAUACGGUCAAGGGAAUAGAAAUCUAGACAAAAGUUGGCUCGUAAAACUCCCCAUUCACCUUGUUGUUGACUUACCUUCUGACUGUACCAUUGUCUAGCUUCUCCCCUUAAAGAAAAAGGAAAAAGCUUCCAACGUAAAGUCUUAUCAGAAAUGCCUUCAAUGCGAAGACAAUCACAUGUUUGCUCAAAAUCUCUAAUAUGAAGGUAAGGGUUUUCGUCUUCCUUUCCCAAAAAGAUAGGUUUUGAAUCAUGGAAAUCAACCUAGAACUUAACUUAUACUGGGAUGUUUGGAUAGGCUGUGAUGAUUCCCAUGGUAAAAGGUCAGUUGCUAAAGGGAUUGCAGACUCAUGGAUCGAUUUAGAAUUUUGGUUUUCUAUAAGGUAAGAAUAAAGAAAAUAAGUAAUAUAAAAGAUAAGAAAAGAUAAAAGUAUAGAUACAAGCUAAUAGCAAGACACAGGUUAUCUCAGCAACCGUCUUUCUCCCCGGCAACGGCGCCAGAAAUGCUUGUUGAUAUUUGGGAACGCAAUAAGGAAUUGAUCCGCAAGCGCACGGAUAUCGGUGAGCACUUCACCCAGGAGGUUAUCCAGAGUAUCGUAUUUAUUUUUUUUACCACUAGGAGAAAGAGUGCAUCUGACUAACCGGUCUAUUACUACUAACCUUUAGGCAUAAAGAAUGUCUUUCGAUGUGAGUGAUAAAUAGAGAAGACUGCAACCGUAGUCUCCUUCUAACCUUGGUAAGGAUGAUCUACUGUUCUAAUGGGGAGGCUAACGAAAUCUAGACACCACAAAGGAUGUUCGACCCGCACCUAUAAACCCUAUCCUUCCUGCUAACGAGAUGUGAUCUACAAAGGUAGCUCGGAAAUGUCACGUUCCUCGCUACUACCACGGUCCAGCUAGUCAGGGAAUAUCUAUGAGUACCCCAGCCUAAACACCACGUUUACGCCAGCAAUGAUUACUCUAAACUCUACGCGAAGAGAUUAAAGUAAACUCAUAAACCAUAAGAACAAUAAAACA
rnacentral:lncRNA from 1 species